rnacentral:rRNA from 1 species
CGCCCAGACUCCUACGGGAGGCAGCAGUGGGGGAUAUUGCACAAUGGGGGGAACCCUGAUGCAGCGACGCCGCGUGGGUGAAGAAGCGCCUCGGCGCGUAAAGCCCUGUCAGCAGGGAAGAAAAUGACGGUACCUGAAGAAGAAGCCCCGGCUAACUACGUGCCAGCAGCCGCGGUAAUACGUAGGGGGCAAGCGUUAUCCGGAUUUACUGGGUGUAAAGGGAGCGUAGACGGCAAUGCAAGCCAGAUGUGAAAACCCGCAGCUCAACUGGGGGAGUGCAUUUGGAACUGUGUAGCUGGAGUGCAGGAGAGGUAAGCGGAAUUCCUGGUGUAGCGGUGAAAUGCGUAGAUAUCAGGAGGAACACCAGUGGCGAAGGCGGCUUACUGGACUGUAACUGACGUUGAGGCUCGAAAGCGUGGGGAGCAAACAGGAUUAGAUACCCCAGUAGC